AGCUACUACAAUGUUUAUGGAGGGGCAACUGCUCAGCAUCCGAUGUAUAGCACCGGACCAAUGACUGGUGUCGCAGCAGCAGCAGCAGCGUACUACCCAUAUCUCCAGUUUGCUGAAGGAAAUGGCCCCGUCACUGGUUAUGCUCCUCUCCACUACCCCAACCACAUGUUUCACUAUUCCACUGGGGGAAACUACCCACACCACAAUGGUGUUAAAUAAUGUCAUGUUUUUGUUUUUGCAUAAAGCAAAUGUUAAGAGAAGGACGUUCUCAUGGUGUUGUGUGUUUGGCAGGACACGUAGGAGGAGGCAGAGGCGUGAAGGUAACAAGCCCUUUCAAGACACACUUUGGGAGUGCAGCUGCUCUUCCUUCCCCAAUUCCAUUCUCUCACUACACACUUCCUUACACUAAUCCUUAUGGGUACUCCACCUUUAAUCUCUUACCUCAUCUCUCUAAACAGACUUAUAAUCCUCUGUUUAAACUUCAUAGGUUCUCUUCGUACUCAAUGGAUUACAACUACCCCACGGUAUGUAUAUUUUGUUUUUCUCCAUCUAAUUCUAUAAUAAGUAUUGAGUAUUUUCUCUACUCUCCCUCGUAUCUCAUAUAGCUUAUUUGGUUUCUGUUUAUAAACAGAGCUACUACAAUGUUUAUGGAGGAGCAACUGCUCAGCAUCCGAUGUAUAGCACCGGACCAAUGACUGGUAUCGCAGCAGCAGCAGCAGCGUACUACCCAUAUCUCCAGUUUGCUGAAGGAAAUGGACCCGUCACUGGUUAUGCUCCUCUCCACUACCCCAACCACAUGUUUCACUAUUCCACUGGGGGAAACUACCCACA
rnacentral:lncRNA from 1 species